rnacentral:rRNA from 1 species
CGCUGGCGGCGUGCUUAACACAUGCAAGUCGAACGCGAAAGGGACUUCGGUCCUGAGUAAAGUGGCGCACGGGUGAGUAACGCGUAGAUAACCUGUCUUCAUGUCUGGAAUAAUACGCCGAAAGGGGUACUAAUACCGGAUAUUCUUGCUUUUCAUAAGUUAUGCAAGCAAAGGUGGCCUCUGCAUAUGCUACUGCAUGAAGAGGGGUCUGCGUACCAUUAGCUAGUAGGUGGGGUAAUGGCCUACCUAGGCGACGAUGGUUAGCGGGUCUGAGAGGAUGAUCCGCCACACUGGCACUGGAACACGGGCCAGACUCCUACGGGAGGCAGCAGUGAGGAAUAUUGCGCAAUGGGGGAAACCCUGACGCAGCGACGCCGCGUGAGUGAGGAAGGCCUUCGGGUCGUAAAGCUCUGUCAAGAGGAAAGAAGUGUACAAUGGCUAAUACCUGUUGUAUUUGACGGUACCUCUAAAGGAAGCACCGGCUAACUCCGUGCCAGCCGCCGC